GUGGGGAAUAUUGGACAAUGGGCGGAAGCCUGAUCCAGCCAUGCCGCGUGUGUGAAGAAGGCCGUUUGGUUGUAAAGCACUUUAAGCGAGGAGGAGGCUCCUUUAGUUAAUACCUAAAGUGAGUGGACGUUACUCGCAGAAUAAGCACCGGCUAACUCUGUGCCAGCAGCCGCGGUAAUACAGAGGGUGCGAGCGUUAAUCGGAUUUACUGGGCGUAAAGCGUGCGUAGGCGGCUUUUUAAGUCGGAUGUGAAAUCCCUGAGCUUAACUUAGGAAUUGCAUUCGAUACUGGAAAGCUAGAGUAUGGGAGAGGAUUGUAGAAUUCCAGGUGUAGCGGUGAAAUGCGUAGAGAUCUGGAGGAAUACCGAUGGCGAAGGCAGCCAUCUGGCCUAAUACUGACGCUGAGGUACGAAAGCAUGGGGAGCAAACAGGAUUAGAAACCCGAGUAGUCC
rnacentral:rRNA from 1 species